AUGAAGGUGAAGAUAAUGUCGCAUUUAUUUGUGUUUAAAUUUGACCGAGAAACUAUUGAGGAUAACAUGUUGUUUCCUUUGUAUGAUUUGAGCGAGAAAGUCUUUUUAAUCUGGAGUAUAGUCGAUUUAGUUGUAGCUGCCCUGGGUUUAAUAGUUGGAUGGCAUUGCUUGAUUCAAAAAUUCAUUUUGUCAAUGGUUUGUAUAAGACAUUUUUGA